rnacentral:sRNA from 1 species
GCCGGGCUCGGUAGUGCAUGUCUGUAAUCCCAGCAGCGUGGGAGGCUGAGACAGGAGGAUCAUGAGUUCAAAGCCAGCCUUAGGAAUGGCGAGGGGCUAAGCAACUCAGUGAGACCCUGUCUCUA